GUGAGAACGUUAAUGCCAAGAAGAAGAAGAACAAAAAUAUGGUACACUGAGCCUAUUAAUCUGAUUAUAUUUAUCUGGAAAAUCAUAUACACGCAUCAGAAUUCAUAUUUGAUAGAUUCUAUAACCACCCAAUAAAGACUAUAUGAAACUCCAAUGAGGUUUAAUUAAUAGCCAUAUGGAAGCAAUUUACAUUUCACAUAAAACUCAUUGGACAUCGUUUACCCAUUCGGUCAUUACAAAAUCAGAUACAUGGUAUAUGAUUUUCUAUUGUGAAAAAAUCUGUGUUUAUAUUUAGUGACACGAUGGCGGCCACUGCAUACAAUUUGCUAGCGGGUUUUGAAUUUACGACGAGUUCUUGCAAAUUUUUGAAGCAUGUGGAACCACUAUUUACGAGCUUUAACCGUGCUCAUUGAAGAAUUUCGCUUCAAAUUACAUACUGCUGAUACACUCUAAAGUUCUACUUGACGCUAUCCAAAUUUUUGUGCCGACCAUGCAACAUCAAAAAUUCCCUGUGUUUCAGUUCCAGUUGUAACUAUGAGAUGACUAUAGUGGAUACGAAUACACGAUUGAUGGAAGAUUGUAAGGCCGGAGAAGUACUUGGUCCCUCUCAAACGAAGAAAUCUUUUUCAUGGAUUGUAAUAUCCAUACAUUAAAAUUUUAAAUAAAUAAUUUUAAAAUUUACU